AGUGUAGGCGGCUGUAUAAGUCGGAUGUGAAAGCCCCGGGCUCAACCUGGGAAUUGCAUUCGAAACUGUAUAGCUAGAGUUUGGUAGAGGUAAGUGGAAUUCCGGGUGUAGCGGUGAAAUGCGUAGAUAUCCGGAGGAACAUCAGUGGCGAAGGCGGCUUACUGGACCAAAACUGACGCUGAGGCUCGAAAGCGUGGGGAGCAAACAGGAUUAGAUACCCUGGUAGUC
rnacentral:rRNA from 1 species